UCCGUGUUGACCACGGCAGUAUCCUACGAGUCCUCGGCAUUACCCGUUAGCAACAUAGGAGAAGGGUUGCGCUCGUUGCGGGACUUAACCCAACAUCUCACGACACGAGCUGACGACAGCCAUGCACCACCUAUCGCGCGCCCCGAAGGACACUACAUCUCUGUAGCUUUUCACGCGUAGUUCAAUCCAGGUGAGGUUUUUCGCGUUGCAUCGAAUUAAGCAACAUGCUCCGCUGCUUGUGCGGGUCCCCGUCAAUUCCUUUGAGUUUUAACCUUGCGGCCGUACUCCCCAGGCGGGGUACUUAAUGCGUUAGCGACGGCGCGGAAAUCGUUGGAGAUUCCCACACCUAGUACCCACCGUUUACAGCGUGGACUAC
rnacentral:misc_RNA from 1 species